ACGAACGCUUACGGCAGGCCUAACACAUGCAAGUCGAACGCACCUUCGGGAUGAGUGGCAGACGGGUGAGUAACGCGUGGGAACCUGCCCUGUGGUACGGAAUAACUCUGGGAAACCGGAGCGAAGAGCGUAUAAGCCCUACGGGGGAAAGAUUUAUCGCCAUAGGAUGGGCCCGCGUCAGAUUAGCUAGUUGGUAGGGUAAUGGCCUACCAAUGCUACGAUCUGUAGCUGGUCUGAGAGGAUGAUCAGCCACACUGGGACUGAGACACGGCCCAGACUCCUACGGGAGGCAGCAGUGGGGAAUCUUGGACAAUGGGCGAAAGCCUGAUCCAGCCAUGCCGCGUGAGUGAAGAAGGCCCUAGGGUUGUAAAGCUCUUUCAGCGGGGAAGAUAAUGACGGUACCCGCAGAAGAAGCCCCGGCUAACUUCGUGCCAGCAGCCGCGGUAAUACGAAGGGGGCUAGCGUUGUUCGGAAUUACUGGGCGUAAAGCGCGCGUAGGCUGACUGGUCAGUCAGGGGUGACAUACCGGGGCUUAACCUCGGAACUGCCUUUGAUACUGCCAGGUCUAGAGUCCGGCAAAG
rnacentral:rRNA from 1 species